rnacentral:rRNA from 1 species
UACGUAGGGGGCUAGCGUUGUCCGGAAUCAUUGGGCGUAAAGAGCGUGUAGGCGGCCAGAAAAGUCCGCUGUGAAAACUCGAGGCUCAACUUCGAGCUGUCGGUGGAAACUUUCUGGCUAGAGUCCGGAAGAGGAGAAUGGAAUUCCUGGUGUAGCGGUGAAAUGCGCAGAUAUCAGGAGGAACACCGGUGGCGAAGGCGGGUCUCUGGGCAGUAACUGACGCUGAGGAGCGAAAGCGUGGGGAGCGAACAGG